GAUAUGAUCAGACAGUUUUAAGGAACUAUGCUGACUUUAUGAGGUCAAGGCUUACAAAAUCCUCUUGAAAAAAUUAGCCUGGUACCUGGCUUAUAGCAUGCUUAGCCUUACAGUGAGUAUAGAAGGUCACUUUCCGGUACUCUCAGGAACCAUAGGAUAUUUUGGAGACCUCAAGAAGAGAGGCAGUCAUUCAAUUCUGUUUUAAGCCCUGGAGACCCAGCUCUUCACUCUCACCUCAGAUCUGAGACGUGAUGCCACACCUUUUCCUCCAGCUGCCAUGACAAAAUACUACAGAUGGGGUAGCUUAAACACGUCGUCUGUGAGUGGGUGUUUCUCACGAUUCUGGAGGCUGCACAUCUGAGAUCAAGACGUCAGCUGCCUUGGUUUCCUCUGAAUCUUCUCCUCGGGCUGCAGAUGGACACUGUCUUGCUGCCUCUUCCUCUGGUCGUCUCUGUGCAUGCGUGCCCCCAGGGUCUCUGCGUGCCCUAAUCCCUGUUCUAAUAAGGCAUCAAUGCCUUUUAUCAGUUUAAGAGGUUACCUUCAAUACCAGGUUACUGAGGAUUUUU
rnacentral:lncRNA from 10 species